rnacentral:lncRNA from 1 species
UUCAAAUGUUUACCUUUUAGAUUUAAUUAAUGGUUGAAUUUCCGAUAUUGUUUUUUUAUUUGAUUAGUCGAUUUUUGUGUGUCAAUUAAUUUAGUUAGGUUAUUAGUACCCAUGUCCAUACUUUUACACAUAUAAAUAAUCACAUUCAACAUUCAAUUUCAUUUCCCCAUCACCUUCAAAUACAAUUUCAAGCCUUUCGUC